rnacentral:rRNA from 1 species
GAUGAACGCUGGCGGCGUGCCUAAUACAUGCAAGUCGAGCGAACAGAUGAGGAGCUUGCUCCUCUGACGUUAGCGGCGGACGGGUGAGUAACACGUGGAUAACCUACCUAUAAGACUGGGAUAACUUCGGGAAACCGGAGCUAAUACCGGAUAAUAUAUUGAACCGCAUGGUUCAAUAGUGAAAGACGGUUUUGCUGUCACUUAUAGAUGGAUCCGCGCCGCAUUAGCUAGUUGGUAAGGUAACGGCUUUCCAAGGCAACGAUGCGUAGCCGACCUGAGAGGGUGAUCGGCCACACGAGAACUGAGACACGGUCCAGGCUCCUACGGGAGGCAGCAGUAGGGAAUCUGCCGCAGUAGGCGAAAGCCUGACGGAGCAACGCCGCGUGAGUGAUGAAGGUCUUCGGAGCGUAAAACUCUGUUAUUGGGGAAGAACAAAUGUGGAAGUAACUAUGCACGUCUUGACGGUACCUAAUCAGAAAGCCACGGCUAACUACGUG